UACGUAGGGUGCAAGCGUUGCCCCGGAUUUAUUGGGCGUAAAGGGCGCGUAGGCGGCUCGGCACGUCCGUUGUGAAAUCGCCCGGCUCAACUGGGCGGGGUCAGCGGAUACGGCCGAGCUUGAGCAAGCUAGGGGGGCAAUGGAAUUCCCGGUGUAGUGGUGGAAUGCGUAGAUAUCGGGAGGAACACCAGUGGCGAAGGCGGUUGCCUGGGGCUUUGCUGAC
rnacentral:rRNA from 1 species